rnacentral:rRNA from 1 species
GCCAAAUUAAGGUGAAACCGCGAAAGGCUCAUUAAAUCAGUUAUGGUUCCUUAGAUCGUACCCACAUUUACUUGGAUAACUGUGGUAAUUCUAGAGCUAAUACAUGCAAACAGAGCUCCGACCGGAGACGGAAGGGAGUGCUUUUAUUAGAUCAAAACCAAUCGGUGGCGGGCUUGCUCGUCAUCGCACAUUUUGGUGACUCUGAAUAACUUUUUGCUGAUCGCACGGUCUUGCACCGGCGACGCAUCUUUCAAAUGUCUGCCUUAUCAACUGUCGAUGGUAGGUUCUGCGCCUACCAUGGUUGUAACGGGUAACGGGGAAUCAGGGUUCGAUUCCGGAGAGGGAGCCUGAGAAACGGCUACCACAUCCAAGGAAGGCAGCAGGCGCGCAAAUUACCCACUCCCGGCACGGGGAGGUAGUGACGAAAAAUAACGAUACGGGACUCAUCCGAGGCCCCGUAAUCGGAAUGAGUACACUCUAAACCCUUUAACGAGGAUCAAUUGGAGGGCAAGUCUGGUGCCAGCAGCCGCGGUAAUUCCAGCUCCAAUAGCGUAUAUUAAAGUUGUUGCGGUUAAAAAGCUCGUAGUCGAAUCUGUGUCCCGCGCCGUCGGUUCAUCGCUCGCGGUGUCAACUGACGUGCCGCGGGACGUCCUGCCGGUGGGCUUAGCCUCUCGGGGCGGCCCAACUUUAAAUCCCACCGCGGUGCUCUUGACUGAGUGUCGAGGUGGGCCGGCACUUUACUUUGAACAAAUUAGAGUGCUUAAAGCAGGCUAAAAUUUCGCCUGAAUACUGUGUGCAUGGAAUAAUGGAAUAGGACCUCGGUUCUAUUUUGUUGGUUUUCGGAACUCCGAGGUAAUGAUUAAUAGGAACGGAUGGGGGCAUUCGUAUUGCGACGUUAGAGGUGAAAUUCUUGGAUCGUCGCAAGACGGACAGAAGCGAAAGCAUUUGCCAAAAACGCUUUCAUUGAUCAAGAACGAAAGUUAGAGGUUCGAAGGCGAUCAGAUACCGCCCUAGUUCUAACCAUAAACGAUGCCAGCUAGCGAUCCGCCGACGUUCCUCCGAUGACUCGGC